rnacentral:rRNA from 1 species
CGUAGGUGGCGAACGUUAUCCGGAAUUAUUGGGCGUAAAGGGUGCGUAGGCGGCAUGAUAAGUUAUUGGCGGCAAAUCGAGGCUCAACCUCGUGGAAACUGAUAAUACUGUCUUGCUUGAGUGCAGAAGAGGUUAACGGAACUCCAUGUGGAGCGGUAAAAUGUGUAGAUAUAUGGAAGAACAUCAAUAACGGCGAAGGCAGUUAACUAUUCUGUUACUGACGUUGAGGCACGAAAGCGUGGGGAGCAAAAAGG